rnacentral:rRNA from 1 species
AACGUAGGACGCAAGCGUUAUCCGGAGUUACUGGGCGUAAAGCGCGGGCAGGCGGCUCGUUGCGUCUGAUGUGAAAUCUCCUCGCUCAACGGGGAGAGGCCAUUGGAAACGGUCGAGCUGGAGGGCAGUAGAGGCAGGCGGAAUUCCGGGUGGAGUGGUGAAGUGCGUAGAGAUCCGGAGGAACACCAGAGGCGAAGGCGGCCUGCUGGGCUGCGCCUGACGCUGAGCCGCGAAAGCCAGGGGAGCGAACGGG